rnacentral:rRNA from 1 species
GCAAGUCGAGGGGCAGCAUAAUGGAUAGCAAUAUCUAUGGUGGCGACCGGCGCACGGGUGCGUAACGCGUAUGCAACCUACCUUUAACAGGGGGAUAACACUGAGAAAUUGGUACUAAUACCCCAUAACAUUAUGAAAGGCAUCUUUUAUGGUUGAAAAUUCCGAUGGUUAGAGAUGGGCAUGCGUUGUAUUAGCUAGUUGGUGAGGUAACGGCUCACCAAGGCGACGAUACAUAGGGGGACUGAGAGGUUAACC